GCGCCCGUGACGCGCGGGGCGCAGCGGGGCAGAGCCGGCUCCAGAGGCGCGGCGGCCGCGGGAGGAGCAGGCGCGGAGCAUCGAGCGCAGGCCGCGCCGGCCCGACGGGAGCUGCGCCGGGCGCGGGCCGCCUCCUCCGAGCCGCCUGCGCGCGGGCCGAGACCCUUGGCCGCCGCCGGCGGGGCAUGAGCGCGGAGGGGCCGCGGCCGCCCCCCGCGCCGCCCAGGCCGUGACCGGGCGGGGGGCGGCUGCGCUAGCGCCCGCAGCCCAGGGGCUCGCGGAGCCGGGAGCGAUAAUCAUGGACUGCAGCCUAUUGAGGACGCUCGUGCGCAGAUACUGUGCAGGGGAAGAGAACUGGGUGGACAGUCGGACCAUCUACGUGGGACACAAGGAGCCCCCUCCGGGUGCAGAGGCCUACAUUCCACAGAGAUACCCCGACAAUAGAAUCGUCUCCUCCAAGUACACAUUCUGGAACUUCAUACCCAAGAACUUAUUUGAACAGUUCAGAAGAAUAGCCAACUUUUAUUUCCUCAUCAUCUUCCUGGUACAGUUGAUCAUCGACACACCCACAAGUCCAGUGACAAGCGGGCUCCCACUCUUCUUCGUCAUCACAGUCACGGCCAUCAAGCAGGGCUAUGAAGACUGGCUUCGCCACAAGGCCGACAAUGCCAUGAACCAGUGUCCUGUGCACUUCAUCCAGCAUGGCAAGCUAGUCCGCAAGCAGAGUCGGAAGCUGAGGGUUGGGGACAUUGUCAUGGUGAAGGAAGAUGAGACCUUUCCCUGUGACCUGAUAUUUCUCUCCAGCAACCGGGCAGAUGGGACAUGCCAUGUCACUACAGCCAGCUUAGACGGAGAGUCGAGCCAUAAAACUCACUACGCAGUGCAGGAUACCAAGGGCUUCCACACAGAGGCAGAUGUUGACAGCUUGCACGCCACAAUCGAGUGUGAACAGCCACAGCCUGACCUCUACAAGUUUGUGGGGCGCAUCAAUGUUUACAACGACAUGAACGACCCUGUGGUGAGGCCUUUGGGAUCAGAAAACCUGCUUCUCAGAGGAGCUACACUCAAAAACACAGAGAAGAUCUUUGGUGUGGCCAUCUACACAGGCAUGGAGACCAAGAUGGCCCUGAACUAUCAGUCCAAGUCCCAAAAGAGAUCUGCUGUGGAAAAGUCAAUGAACACAUUCCUGAUCGUGUACCUCUGCAUCCUGGUGAGCAAAGCCCUGAUCAACACGGUGCUGAAGUACGUGUGGCAGAGUGAGCCCUUCCGAGAUGAACCAUGGUACAAUGAGAAGACCGAAUCCGAGCGCCAGAGGAAUUUGUUCCUCAGGGCCUUCACUGACUUCCUAGCCUUCAUGGUCCUCUUCAAUUACAUCAUCCCCGUAUCCAUGUACGUCACCGUGGAGAUGCAGAAGUUCCUUGGCUCCUACUUCAUCACCUGGGAUGAAGACAUGUUUGAUGAGGAAAUGGGGGAAGGGCCUCUGGUCAACACAUCUGAUCUAAAUGAGGAGUUGGGACAGGUGGAAUACAUCUUCACUGACAAGACGGGCACCCUUACAGAGAACAACAUGGCCUUUAAGGAGUGCUGCAUCGAGGGCCACGUCUAUGUACCCCAUGUCAUCUGCAAUGGGCAGGUCCUUCCCGACUCUUCUGGCAUUGACAUGAUCGAUUCUUCCCCCGGAGUCUGUGGAAGGGAACGGGAGGAGCUGUUUUUCAGGGCUAUCUGCCUAUGCCACACUGUCCAAGUGAAAGAUGACCAUUGUGGGGAUGAUGUCGAUGGUCCCCAGAAAUCUCCAGAUGCAAAGUCCUGUGUGUACAUAUCAUCCUCGCCUGAUGAGGUUGCACUGGUCGAAGGUGUGCAACGGCUUGGAUUCACGUACCUGAGGCUGAAGGACAAUUACAUGGAAAUACUGAACAGGGAGAAUGACAUAGAGAGAUUUGAAUUGCUAGAAGUGCUGACCUUUGAUUCUGUGCGGAGAAGAAUGAGCGUGAUUGUAAAGUCUACCACAGGAGAAAUUUAUCUGUUUUGCAAAGGAGCAGAUUCUUCAAUAUUUCCCCGAGUGAUAGAAGGCAAAGUAGACCAGGUCCGGUCUAGAGUGGAGCGCAAUGCCGUGGAAGGGCUGCGAACCCUGUGUGUUGCAUACAAGAGGCUCGAACCAGAGCAGUAUGAAGAUGCUUGCCGACUGCUACAGAGUGCCAAAGUGGCGCUUCAGGACCGGGAGAAGAAGCUGGCAGAAGCCUAUGAGCAGAUAGAGAACGACCUUGUUCUGCUUGGUGCUACGGCUGUUGAGGACCGGCUCCAGGAGAAAGCUGCUGACACAAUAGAGGCACUACAGAAGGCAGGUAUCAAGGUCUGGGUGCUCACCGGGGACAAGAUGGAGACAGCCUCCGCCACUUGCUAUGCCUGCAAGCUGUUCCGCAGGAGCACACAGCUGCUGGAGCUGACCACCAAGAAGCUAGAGGAGCAAAGCCUGCAUGAUGUGCUCUUCGACCUGAGCAAGACAGUGCUGCGCUGCAGCGGGAGCCUGACCAGGGACUCCUUCUCGGGGCUCUCCACAGAUAUGCACGACUAUGGUUUAAUCAUCGAUGGAGCGGCGCUGUCCUUGAUAAUGAAGCCGAGAGAGGACGGGAGCUCCUCGGGCAACUACCGAGAGCUCUUCCUGGAGAUCUGCAGAAACUGCAGCGCUGUGCUGUGCUGCCGGAUGGCACCCUUGCAGAAGGCCCAGAUCGUUAAGUUAAUCAAAUUUUCAAAGGAGCAUCCGAUUACCUUAGCAAUUGGUGAUGGUGCCAAUGAUGUCAGUAUGAUCCUGGAGGCCCACGUGGGCAUAGGUGUCAUCGGGAAAGAGGGUCGCCAGGCUGCAAGGAACAGUGACUAUGCAAUACCCAAGUUUAAACACUUGAAGAAGAUGCUUCUUGUUCAUGGGCAUUUUUAUUAUAUCAGGAUAUCUGAGCUUGUGCAAUACUUCUUUUAUAAGAAUGUCUGCUUCAUUUUCCCUCAGUUUUUGUACCAGUUCUUCUGCGGAUUUUCACAGCAGACUUUGUACGACACUGCGUAUCUGACUCUCUACAACAUCAGCUUCACUUCCCUCCCGAUUCUCCUGUACAGCCUCAUGGAGCAGCACGUGGGCAUUGACGUGCUUAAGAGAGACCCAGCCCUCUACAGAGACAUUGCCAAGAAUGCGCUGCUGCGCUGGCGGGUGUUCAUUUACUGGACGUUUCUCGGCGUUUUUGACGCUUUGGUAUUUUUCUUUGGUGCUUAUUUCAUAUUUGAGAACACAACCGUGACCAUCAAUGGACAGAUGUUUGGGAACUGGACCUUCGGGACGCUGGUGUUCACUGUGAUGGUGCUCACUGUCACACUGAAGCUCGCACUGGACACACACUACUGGACUUGGAUCAACCACUUUGUCAUCUGGGGGUCCCUGCUCUUCUACAUUGCCUUCUCCCUGCUCUGGGGAGGGGUUAUCUGGCCGUUCCUCAGUUACCAGCGGAUGUACUAUGUGUUUAUAUCCAUGCUGUCCAGUGGGCCUGCCUGGCUGGGUAUCAUACUGCUUGUAACGGUCGGCCUCCUCCCUGACGUCCUCAAGAAGGUCCUGUGCAGGCAGCUGUGGCCCACGGCAACGGAGAAAACUCAGGCCAGGAACAAGUGCCUUUCUGUUGAGCAGCCCACCGUCUUUAUGCUUUCCCAGACCGCCAGUAGUCUGAGUUUCUGACCAACAGGUGACCAUCUCUGCCUUCUUGCAUGUUGGGGUGAUGGCCACAGGACCAGGUGGAAAGAACUUAGUGUUGAGGCCGCCCACCACACUCUGGUAUUGUCAGUCACCACCACUACCUCAUCAGAACAUACAACAUCGGGACAGCAUUUCAGAAUUCACCCCUCUGGCCUCUUUGCAGAGAUGGGGUGCUCAGGGCAGCAGACUCUUGGCUGCCCAAGGCAGCUCCCCCUCUGGGAGAGUUGUGUGCUCCAGGUGGGAGAGCGAAGAGUGCCCAGUGCUCCCUCCUCACCCAGGCCUUCCCUACAAGGCGAGGUAUGGGUGCUGUAGGUCCAGCCUGGAGACGCCCACUUGAUAGACAGACAGCCCCUCUGCCCCAGCCUCUGAGAGCUCUGUUCUUGGGUACCUGUGUGUGCCUGCACCUGUUCCACCCUUCAUCCUCAGGGAGGGGAGGGUGGGAUCACAGGUCACCCACUCAGGCACAGCACACUGCAAUCCGGACUGUGCGUGGCCGGCGUCAUUGUCCCAGGCCUGGUGACCAUACAUCCAGUUGGACUCUGGAAAAGGACAUUAAGCCUGGCCUCAUCUUAAGCACUGUGGCUUGAAGCUGGCCUUGCCCCUGAGUGUCCACCCUGCUGCUGUCGUUACCUCUGCUGUCUCUUGAGAAGAAGAUCCUAUUCCUUUGUCUGCAGAAGCGUGCGUAGCACAUGGCGCUCGGCUCAUAUUGUAUCCCGAUGUUCCUGCCCGCGUGUUACCUGUGUGAACUGUACACACUUCCCCCGUCAGACACCGAGGGGUGUGUGUCUCCUGGACCUGUGGCCGUACUGUGCUCAUGUUCGCUGUCCCCUCACAAAGCCAUCUUCCUAGAUCAUGUCUGAGUCAGUUUGCUGAGAUACUGACCCUACACGUUGGAGCCUUCCAUGUCAGCGUCCCUGUCCUGUCCCCGGCUGCCUGUGGAAGAUGACGUUUAUGUAUGCGAAUAAGUCACACUGUUAGCCAAGUCUCUCAGGAGUGUAGUGAUAGCCGCCACACUCUGGAAUGAUGUCAGCUAAACAUAUUGGAAAACAUUUGUUUCAAGGGUGUGGGGAAAGGGGGAGGUUUGGGGUGCCCAGGCAGGUGUUUUAUCUUACCCAGAGGUGAGUCCCAAUACCCACGUUGUCUGGGGCUGCUGGUUUCAUCCGCUCUAGUCUGCUGCUCUGGCUGCCACCUCCUGGUGCCACACAGAUCACGUCCAGGGCUUCACUUGGAGUGGCCAGGCCAUCAGAAGCCCACUGAACUGUGAACCUCCGCUGCUGCCCGCACUGGCAUUUCUGUUUUCAGCAAUGCUCCCAACAGCGCUGUAAUGGGCCUGACUCAGAAGAAGGUUUGUAGUGUGAUGUAGCCUUUCAGAAAGUACCAGGCAGAGCCUGGGAGAAAGUCAGCCCCNUCCGUCCGUCCGUCCGUCCCUGUGGAGUUGUAUGGUGGGCCUGGAGCCAUGGUGAGGGUCUCUGGCACUUGAGAGCCUGUAUUCUGGGAAGCACAAAUUUUAUAACACGAUUACGAUUACACAAGGUUUCCCUAUAAACCGUGUGCUUGAACUGGGGACCAGCCGACAGUAGGUGCAGUUACUGUACCUGGCAGUUGGGGGAGGUUGGGCAACACCACACCAAAGAUGGGGAAUGGGUUGGCCUUGAGCUUGGAACAGACAGGGGAUGACCAGCUCUGCUGAGGGCUGUCUGUGCCUCCACACACCCUCAUGCCCAUUCACCCACCUGUGUCGUCAUGUGUCAGAGGAUUGGCGCCCCAGUCCACACUGGCCCUUAAUUAGUAGUGUGUGCAUUUUUACAGCCCCUUUUUAAGAACCCAGACGGGUAUAAAUAUAAUACCUGUGGGGAGGGGCAGGUUCUCUCUGUGUUUAGUUAACAGAUUAUUUGUAAUGUAUUUUUUUAGGGAAUCUUAAAAUUACCUUUGCACUAAAGUAUUUUCAUAGCUGUUUCUAUAUCUUACUCAUUUGUUGAUGCAUCUUCUGAUUUUUAAAUAUGUUUUUAAAGCUUUCACAUUUUAAGUUGAAGAACUUUGGCCACUUAAAUGCUGGUGAGCAUUUCGGCUGAAUGUCUCAGUGUCUGGCAGCGACCUCUCUGAUUCUCCUCUGUGCCUCUCUCUUUCUUGAUGUUUUCAGAGACUGACCAGCUGAGGCAUGCUGAGGCCGCACACCAUCUCCUCUGCUUGCUCUGUCACAGUCCUCUGUCGCUUCAUGGUUUCUGUUUUGUUUUUGUUUUUUAUUUCCAUCCUUCAGCCUUAAACACCUAAACAACAUCCCUCCUGCAGGGUUGAUCCUGCAGCCCUCGCUGGGCGUGGGAACACACUCCUGCACCCCACCCCACCCCCGUAGCUGAAGUUUACGUGGGAACAUCCCAGACCGAAUGCACACUCCAGUGUCCUUUAAAAUUGUGCUUAGGAAACUACCAAAUGAAGUUGCCUGAGAAUUUGAAAGAGACAAGGGCACAGGUGAAAUGCAGAGGCAGAGACCAAACACACGUGCAGAAGGCCGUCCACCUCACCUCACAGCGGUUGCGUUGGCUUUCCUUAAAGCAAGGAACUUCAACCCAAGCAUCUUCUUAAUUCAGUUGCACAAAUGAGCAUCAGUGGCUUCCUACAUUGGCCCAGAUUCAUGGCCCCGCUCCCUAUAAAUAGUUCAUCUCCUGUAUGUUCCAGGAGCCCUGACUGCAUGUGUGUUCUCUUACUUUGUGCUCCACACACACUCAUGCCAUGUACACAUACAUGAACACACAUUUGCAUUCUUCAAGACCAUGUACCAGCCUGCUUUCUGACAGCCCUGUGCAGAGAUGUUGCCCUCUGGAACAUCAGGCUACUUACACACACAUGCACACAGGCACACACACUAGGAAGGGCACUUGGGCUGUGUGAGUGCACGCUGUGCUGGACUGAGCUCUCCCCUCCCAGGGAAGCAUACCUCCCAGUCAAGACCUCCCCUUGCUCCCUCAGUCCAGCAGGCAGGACCCAGGCUAACCAAAGCUGCAUGCUGUCAAGGCGCCUGCCCCCUGCCACAUGCCAGCUAGGGUAACAUCCUCCAUCCCAGCGAUCCAUUCCUGAGUACAAGCAGACCAAAGGCCCCAUGCAGGGGGAUGGCACAGCCAGAGCUGGAACAGGGUAACUUUUGGGUGUUCCUACUGAGCACAUUUCCCAGGAUCAGCGGCUGAAUGUGUGCCGUCAUAGCCACCCAGGUCGCUGAGCAUCACCCAGGUGUCAUGCCCCAGCCUGGCCUCUGAAACCCCAAGUUCAAGGCAUAUCUGCACUGACUGGUACUGGACUCACCCAUCCAUUUAUUUCAUUUUAAUGUAGUUUAUUGGCAAUACCAUAGAACAGCAGGCCCUUGCAUUCUGCAUUUCUUUUGGAAGUUACCCAUUCAUGAUUACAAACAGGGAAACGUCACUUGGUGAAUGCAAUCUUUCUGUUUUAAAACCUAGAAGAUGGGUGAAUGGAAAGGGGAGAGGUUCUGAUACUGUGUCUGAACAAAGCUUUAAUGAAGAUAUGUGUGUUGGAAGUAUUAUGAAAGUGCGAUUCUAAUUUUGCAGAAAAAAAUGUCUAUCAAUUUAUAUAGCUUUAUUUUUUACCUUAUCAAGAGAUAGAGAAUUUUAAUAUGCAUAUAUUGUCUGACUUAGAAUCAUGUGUGUCUGCAUUGCCACUUAAAAUGUCCAUCUGCUAUGUCAUGUAUGAAUAAGAGAGAAUCAAAGAUGUAUCUAACGUGAAUGGUUAUCUGUAGCUGUCAUUGUCAUAAGAACUGGGAUUUAUUUUAAAUUAUCAAAUAUAGUAAGUACAUUAAACAUGUCAUUCUCCAACACUAA